rnacentral:rRNA from 1 species
GGGGAAUUGUUCGCAAUGGGCGCAAGCCUGACGACGCAACGCCGCGUGGAGGAUGAAGAUCUUCGGGUCGUAAACUCCUUUCGAUCGAGACGAAUUCCUCCGGGGUGAACAAUCCCGGAGGUUGACGGUACCGAGAGAAGAAGCCCCGGCUAACUCCGUGCCAGCAGCCGCGGUAAUACGAAGGGGGCUAGCGUUGUUCGGAAUUACUGGGCGUAAAGGGCGCGUAGGCGGCCUUGUUAGUCGAGUGUGAAAGCCCUGGGCUUAACCCGGGAAGCGCGCUUGAUACUGCGAGGCUUGAGUGUGGGAGAGGAUGAUGGAAUUCCCAGUGUAGAGGUGAAAUUCGUAGAUAUUGGGAAGAACACCGGUGGCGAAGGCGAUCAUCUGGACCACAACUGACGCUGAGGCGCGAAAGCGUGGGGAGCAAA